rnacentral:rRNA from 1 species
CCUGGUGGUUGUUGCGAGGAGUAAAGAACCCGAUCCCAUCCCGAACUCGGCCGUUAAACUCCUCAGCGCCGAUGGUACUAUGUCUCAAGACCUGGGAGAGUAGGUCGCUGCCAGGC